CCUACGGGAGGCAGCAGUGAGGAAUAUUGGUCAAUGGACGAGAGUCUGAACCAGCCAAGUAGCGUGAAGGAUGACUGCCCUAUGGGUUGUAAACUUCUUUUAUAAAGGAAUAAAACGAGGCACGUGUGCCUUUUUGCAUGUACUUUAUGAAUAAGGAUCGGCUAACUCCGUGCCAGCAGCCGCGGUAAUACGGAGGAUCCGAGCGUUUUCCGGAUUUCUUGGGUUUAAAGGGAGCGUAGAUGGGUUGUUAAGUCAGUUGUGAAAGUUUGCGGCUCAACCGUAAAAUUGCAAUUGAUACUGGCAGUCUUGAGUACAGUUGAGGUAGGCGGAAUUCGUGGUGUAGCGGUGAAAUGCUUAGAUAUCACGAAGAACCCCGAUUGCGAAGGCAGCUUACUAAACUGUGACUGACAUUGAUGCUCGAAAGUGUGGGUAUCAAACAGGAUUAGAUACCCCGGUAGUC
rnacentral:rRNA from 1 species